rnacentral:tRNA from 1 species
AUUUGCUGGCUUCAAGCCAACUGCAUGACCACUCUGCCACUUUCUUCAAU